UACGUAGGGUGCAAGCGUUGUCCGGAAUUAUUGGGCGUAAAGAGCUCGUAGGCGGUCUGUCGCGUCUGCUGUGAAAAUCCAGGGCUCAACCCUGGACCUGCAGUGGGUACGGGCAGACUAGAGUGCGGUAGGGGAGAGUGGAAUUCCUGGUGUAGCGGUGAAAUGCGCAGAUAUCGGGAGGAACACCGAUGGCGAAGGCAGGUCUCUGGGCCACUACUGACGCUGAGGAGCGAAAGCGUGGGGAGCGAACAGG
rnacentral:rRNA from 1 species